GAUGAACGCUGGCGGCGUGCAUAACACAUUCAAGUCGAACGGAGUUAAUGGUUUUAGAUCCCUUCGGGGUGACGAAGCAUUAACUUAGUGGCGGACGGGUGAGUAACGCGUGAGCAACCUGCCUUUGCGAGGGGGAUAACGUUUGGAAACGAACGCUAAUACCGCAUUAUGUAUGGGAAUCGCAUGAUUUCCAUACCAAAGAUUUAUCGCGCAAAGAUGGGCUCGCGUCUGAUUAGGUAGUUGGUGAGGUAACGGCUCACCAAGCCGACGAUCAGUAGCCGGACUGAGAGGUUGAACGGCCACAUUGGAACUGAGAUACGGUCCAGACUCCUACGGGAGGCAGCAGUGGGGAAUAUUGGGCAAUGGGCGCAAGCCUGACCCAGCGACGCCGCGUGAGGGAAGACGGUCUUCGGAUUGUAAACCUUUGUUGACAGGGACGAUAAUGACGGUACCUGUCGAGGAAGCCACGGCUAACUACGUG
rnacentral:rRNA from 1 species